rnacentral:misc_RNA from 1 species
UUAAAUAAAGAUCGGCGUUGUUGCUGCCUCUCGUGGUAACGCGUCGGAGUUGGGUCGUCUUAACCUUCGGCUAAGUGACUUAAAAUUUUGCAUGAUUUUCGAACGUAUUUAAAUUGCUUACGUACGUUUGGGAUAUCGAAUGUUUAUUAGGUUCGGUCAUCCUUAUCUGUUAUGACUCGCGCCUAUAAUUUUUUCAUU